rnacentral:rRNA from 1 species
UACGGGGGGAGCAAGCGUUGUUCGGAUUUACUGGGCGUAAAGGGCGCGUAGGCGGUCAGCACAAGUCAGUUGUGAAAUCUCCGGGCUUAACUCGGAAAGGUCAACUGAUACUGUGCGACUAGAGUGCGGAAGGGGCAACUGGAAUUCUCGGUGUAGCGGUGAAAUGCGUAGAUAUCAGGAGGAACACCGGUGGCGAAGGCGCUCAUCUGGCCCAAUACUGACGCUGAAGCGCGAAAGCUAGGGGAGCAAACGGG